CAAUAGCGUAUAUUAAAGUUGUUGCGGUAAAAAGCUCGUAGUUGGAUUUCUGUUGAGGGCGACCGGUCCAUACAACGUAUGCGUAUCUGGCUCGGCCUCGGCAUCCUCUCGAUAGACGUUUCUGCGCUUGAUUGCGUGGAGCGGAUCUCGGGGACUUUUACUUUGAGGAAUUUAGAGUGUUCACGGCAGGCUAUCGCCAGAAUACAUUAGCAUGGAAUAAUACUAUAGGAUCUUGAUUCUAUUUUGUUGGUUUUCUAGAAUUGAGAUAAUGAUUAAUAGGGGACAAUUGGGGCAUUCGUAUCAACACGUCAGAGGUGGAAUUCUUGGAUUGUGUUGCGACGAACUACUGCGAAGCAUUUGCCAAGGAUGUUUUUCAUUGAUCAAGAACGAAAGUUAGGGGAUCGAAGAUGAUCAGAUACC
rnacentral:rRNA from 1 species